ACAGUAAGCUUCAAAAUUUUGACUUUUUGCUCUGAUUUGGAACAACAUUUUUUUUUAAUGCUGAUAUUUCCCAAGAACGGUAAUUCUGAUUCCAACAAGUUCUGACAUCAGGCAUCUUUUCAGGACCCUCUUCAAUACCACUGGAAAGGGAGAGAAGGCAGAAUCCUCUGCACUCAGGAUCCCUGAGGGGAAGAGAAAGAAAAAAGAGAUGAUCCCAGAAGACGCUGGAAGUGGGAACAUUCUGGGAGUCCAUGUCUGACGACAACAGAUGUUUCUCAGGCAGAAACAAUGGGUCAGAUCCUCAACUCAUGUGCCAAGAAGAAUUUGAAGCUCAUAUGUUGCCAAAAAGUAUUGACAAAUGCAAAGGAGUGAAGAGAUCAAACAGG